GUAGGGUGCGAGCGUUGCCCGGAUUUAUUGGGCGUAAAGGGCGCGUAGGCGGUCACGCACGUCCGUUGUGAAAUCGCUCGGCUCAACUGGGCGGGGUCAGCGGAUACGGUGUGACUGGAGCAAGCUAGGGGGCAAUGGAAUUCCCGGUGUAGUGGUGGAAUGCGUAGAUAUCGGGAGGAACACCAGUGGCGAAGGCGGUUGCCUGGAGCUUUGCUGACGCUGAUGCGCGAAAGCGUGGGGAGCGAUCCGGAUUAGAUACCCGGGUAGUCCACGCCGUAAACGAUGUCGACUAGGUGUCGGGGGUAUCGACCCCCUCGGCGCCGCAGCUAACGCAUUAAGUCGACCGCCUGGGGACUACGGCCGCAAGGCUA
rnacentral:rRNA from 1 species